AAUCCACUGAUGCAGAACAAGGAAGAUGGAAGAGUACCAUCAUCUACCAAUGGAGGAGGAGGAGGAGAAAAAUGCGGGAGCACCAGCAUCCAAAAGUGUCCCACAAUCAGCCCCAGGAGGAGACGCCAGCAGCGGAAAGAAAGACUAUUAACCAAAACAAUUGUCCCACAAUCAGCCCCAGGAGGAGACGCCAGCAGAGGAAAGAAACAAUAUUAACCAAAACAAUAAUCCACUGAUGGAGAACAAGGAAGAUGGAAGAGUACCAUCAUCUACCAAUGGAGGAUGAGAAGGAGGAAAAUGGGGGAGCACCAGCAUCCAAAAGUGUCCCACAAUCAGCCCCAGGAUGAGACGCCAGCAGCAGAAAGAAAGACUAUUAACCAAAACAAUGUAAGUAAAACUUCUCAUUUACACAGAAAGACACUGAUCACAUGUUUAAUGUAUAAAUAGACGUCACGUUUUACUAAGUCCUGUAAAAUGUCGGAGAGGAACGCCAACAUCCACUGAUGGAGGAGAAGAAAGGUGGAGGACGGGAGUGCCGGCAUCUACCAAUGGAGGAGAAGAAAUGCUUUUAUUAACCAAAACAAUGUAAGUAAAACCUCUCAUUUACACAGAAAGACACUGAACUUUUUUUAUUGUAAAAAUGUUGUCAUUGGUAAAAAAAAUGAAAAAAAAAGAGAAAUAGAUGUUCGUUUACACUAAAACCUGUAAAUUGUCCACCACAGUGUCCCACAAUCAGCCCCAGGAGGAGACGCCAGCAGAGGAAAGAAACAAUAUUAACCAAAACAAUGUAAGUAAAACUUCUCAUUCACACAGAAAGACACUCACAUGUUUAAUGUAUAAAUAGACGUCACGUUUUACUAACUCCUGUAAAAUGUCGGAGAGGAACGCCAACAUCCACUGAUUGAGGAGAAGAAAGAUGGAGGACGGGAGUGCCAGCAUCUACCAAUGGAGAAGAAGAAAUACUUUUAUUAACCAAAACAAUAAUUCACUGAUUGAGAACGAGGAAGAUGGAAGAGUACCAUCAUCUACCAAUGGAGGAGGAGGAGGAGGAGGAGGAGAAAAAUGCGGGAGCACCAGCAUCCAAAAGUGUCCCACAAUCAGCCCCAGGAGGAGACGCCAGCAGCGGAAAGAAAGACUAUUAACCAAAACAAUACGUCACGUUUUACUAAGUCCUGUAAAAUGUCGGAGAGGAACGCCAACAUCCACUGAUUGA
rnacentral:lncRNA from 1 species